rnacentral:rRNA from 1 species
UACGUAGGGGGCGAGCGUUGUCCGGAUUUAUUGGGCGUAAAGAGCGUGUAGGCGGCCUGGUAGGUCUGCUGUGAAAACUCGAGGCUCAACCUCGGAGAUGUCGGCGGAAACCAUCUGGCUAGAGUCCGGAAGAGGAGAGUGGAAUUCCUGGUGUAGCGGUGAAAUGCGCAGAUAUCAGGAAGAACACCUAUGGCGAAGGCAGCUCUCUGGGACGGUACUGACGCUGAGACGCGAAAGCGUGGGGAGCGAACAGG